AGGAAUAUUGUCUUGAGAAUUCACUCGUUGACUCGACCCAAGGUGGGACUUAAUCAUGUACCAUGGUGGGGUGGCUCAGCAAGGUCGGUAUCCUUCCUACCGAGCCAAUUUCCUUUAAUUAGAGUGAUCUCGAUGAUAUGUCCUAAUUCUCUCGUGGUGUCUUGUGCACAAAUCUAAUAUCAAUGUAAAUCGGAAGAUGCUUGGUUCAGUUCAUGCAUGAAUAUAGCCGACUUUGACACAAGGUGUUGGACUAUCAUAUGUCGAGAAAGAUCGUAAGUUAAACAUAAUCAACACGGCUCUACAUUACUUUUGAGUGAGUUGCGACCUGUGGUUUGAGAAACUUUAAACAUCUCCAUCGUGGUCGACAUUUCUAAGUGAAGCGAAUUGACCUAUCACGUGGCAUUUGGGGAAUGAUUCAACUUACAAAUACCUGCUGUCGAGGCGUUAGCCGAACCAAUACCUGCUGGUUCAACUGGGCUUCAACCCAAGGCAUAUUUUGUCAUGUAGGGUAGAGCAUGGGAGCAUAUUGAUUCCAUCUUGCAAAGCAGCCAUCUUAUGAAGGCAACCUCCUCUGCCACGACUUUCCGGCAACUCAAUUCCGAAUUAGAUCCAAAAUUGACGGAUAGCAAAGAUGAACAGACCCUGCAAC